UUUGACAUUUUUGCUGCUAUAUAAAGUUAGGCGAUUUACUCUGUGUUUUUCGUCUUGAUUUAUUGUUUCGAUAAUCUUAGGUUAUAAAGAACUAUUGAACUCGAUUUUCAGUCUAAAAGACACAUACUUGCUGGACUCGGUUUUGUUAGAAGAGCAUUGCAUGAUUGAAGGACUGACAAAUUAUUUGCUAAACUAUUUGCAGAAUGUCUCUGAUUUAGAAAAUGUGAUUGUAAAGUAUUCACUGUUUCAUUAGGUCUCAGGUUCAAAUUUCAGCAGAGACGAAAAUAUAAAGGUGAUUCCUUUGCAUAUGUCCUAGUCUUGGUGGAUAGUGUUACCUGAUAUUUGUUGUUGGUGGGAGGGUGCAGGUAUCCGUGGAAUUAGUCGAGAAGGUUUCAGGUUCAAAUUUAAGCAGAGGCAACAACAUAAGGUGAUUUUUUCUCGUGUCCUAGUCUUGGUGGACAAAGUUAUUUGGUACUUGUUGUUUUUCGUGGGAGGUGGCAGGUAUCUCGUGCAAUUAGUCAAUGUGCGAGAGACAUCAUGGUUAUCAAAAAAAUAAGGGAUGAUUGUUUCAUUGGUACAUGAAAAAGAUUGGGUGCUUUAGCAUUUUUGCUAGUACUUCAUAUUUCAUGUAUAAAACCUCUGCUUGUUCAUUCCAAAGUCAAUAUGAAAGAAUAUUGUUAAGUUUGGACUAACCAGCUACUUUCACCCUUUUGCUGUGUGUGAGAGAAGCUUGAGGUAGGCAGAAGUGGAAAGGAAGGGCCGGUAAGGAUGCAAGGUAGGAGCUGUAGCAAUGAGCUAAUACUGAAUUCAUGUUGUUGUGGAAACUUAACGGAGUAAAGGUUAUACAUUUAAAUAUUAGUCAUCAUAGAAUUGCAUCCUUGAGGAAUAGUCUCAUAUAAUUGGUUUCUAUAUGUGAAGAACCCUUUUGAUAGUUGAAGAAAAGGGUUUGGUUUAGAAGUUGUUUAACGUUUUAGCGCUAAUGUUAUAGUAAAUGCAAAUCAAGUGGUUACUCUUUGUCAUUCCUGAUGUUAUUAUGUUGGCUAUGUCUGCUGCACCUUCAAUGGUUCUGCCUUUGGAUUCUAUCAAGUACACCGAGACCUUACAUGAUGAGUGAUUCUUUCAUUUGAAUGAAGUUUGCUUCUCUCUUUCCGUAUGGCCAAGUAGGGAGUAUAUUAUUGAACCCUCCUUCCCUUGAUGCUUCUGUAUGUUUAAUUCUGGUCUGGCUCUUAGUAGUGACACUCACACCAAGCCUUUUAACUGAUUUCAUCAAUUAUAGGCAGUACUAGUCUGCUACAACAGCUGAAGAUAUUCAUCUGUCUCUUUCUUGCUUGGUAUUAUAAUUGUUUAGGUUUGAUUCCGAAGAUUUCCCUGGUGAGGAAUUGUUGAUGCUAGUAACCCACUUUUUGCCAUCUUUUUGUUAUUGAAACCUGAGUUUCAUGACAUUUGAAACCGUUCUAUUGUGGUUUUAUUUUAAUUGCUUGUGCUUGGAGUCAUUAACUGAUGAGGGGAUGGUAUCUUGGA
rnacentral:lncRNA from 1 species